AGCCUUAGGUAUUUAUCUAAGGUUGAACCUGCCCAAUGUGCAUUAUAUUAACGGCCGCGGUACUUUGACCGUGCUAAGGUAGCGUAAUCAAUUGGCUCCUAAUUAGGGUCAGGAAUGAAUGGAGUUACGUGGUUCAACUGUCUCUAAGUUAGUUUAUUGAAAUUACUGUAUAGGUGAAAAAGCCUAUUAUAAGAAGAAAGACGAGAAGACCCUUAGAGUUUUACUUAAUGUGGGAGUUCUGUAAUAGUAAUAUCCAUAAUAGUUUUGUUGGGGCAACAUAGGAGCAAUAUUAAUGAGUUAAUCUCCUAGUAUUAUACUAACCGAUGGUGUUAAAAGUGGAUAAACUACCUUAGGGAUAACAGCAUAAUGUGAAAAAUCAAGUUUGUGACCUCGAUGUUGGACUAGGAAACUAAAAGGCUAGCCGUCUUUUAGGGAAGUUUUGUUCAAACUGCUAUUCCU
rnacentral:rRNA from 1 species